GCAGAGAAGGAAGCUGCUCACAUCACAAUGGACAGGAAGCAGGGAGGAGCAGUACCACAGCCAGAGCAAGGCAUUGCCCCAAGGACAUGGCCCAGAUGACCUGCUUCCUCUAGCCAGGACUUGCUUUUCACAGUACCACACUUUUUAAUAGUCUAUUCAAAGUUUGAAGCCCGGGCUGAGGAGAUGGGUCAGCAGUGUCUCAAUCUUACCAAGACGACAAUCGUGGUUAACCAUCACAACCUCCCAGAAACUGACGAAAGGAAACACCUCUAAGCUUUUCUCGCCUUGACAACCAUCACAGCAGCAGAAGACAGCACCUGGGGAAACAGCAUUGGUGGCUCUCUUUGCUCCCACCCCCCACUCAGAGCACGCUGCCCGUCUCCCUUCAGCAGCAGAACGUGACCUGGCAGGAGACAGCCUUGCCCUGGGCUUGGAGAGCAGCAGAGGGGCCCAACCCUGGAGUUUUCUCCUUAAAUACAAGCAGGACUCUUGGCUGGAGAGUCUCCCUUGUUUCACGUGUGCCGUCCUCUGUCUGUAAAUUAAACCCAACAAGACCCCAGGGGACCCUAACUAUGACACCUGAUGGGCAAGAGGGAGGGCGACCUCUCUAUAAACCUCUGAUUGUACCCUGGUUUGCGGCCUCCACUCAGUGCUGGUAACUAGACGGCUCAUCGGCUCAUCGUUGUUCUCGUUGGCGGUGGUGGCGGCGGCGGCGGCGGAGGCGGCGGCAGUGGCGGGGUGGCUGUUUGAUCUGUGGGAAAAGCAUCCACUCCAUAGUCAGGGUUUUCAGCAGUGAAAGACAAGCGCUUGUAGCCUUGACUCAGCUCGGAUGUGUCGAUCUCUUCCCUGUCUUGUAGUUCAUCGUCUCCAUUUGUCUGGAGUCACAGUGAUGGUCUUACUGUGUACAGGUUCUAUGGCAAAUGCUGGGAAGAGUUUAAGGGAUGGGAAAGUGCCCAUGUUUGGAUGACUUCCUCACUGCAGCCUCUUGCGGCACCACGACAGGGGCAUGUUUUUAAGAACUGUGUCACAGGAGGAUGGGGGGGGGGGAGAUGGUUCAGUUGGUAAAGGGCUCGCUUCGCAAGCAGGAGGACCUGAGUUUGAGUCCCGGCACCCACGUAAAAAGCCACGUGCAGCAGUGUGCGUGUGUAAUCCCAGUACUUCAGGGGAGAAGCCAGGAGGAUGCUAGGGCUCACUGGUCAGCCCUUCUCUCUGAAUCCAUGGGCUCCAGGUCCAUGGAGAGACCCUGUCUCAAUAAAUAAGGUGGAGCACAGUUGAGAUUGAGGAAGACACUUAACGUCAACCUAUAGCAUCCCCUUGGACAAACACACAUGCGCGCACACACAAAACAUGUAUGUAUACACUUAUAGCCAGGUGUGGUGGUGAACCCUUGUAAUCCUGGUGCCACGAGAGGGGGACAGAAGGAUCCCUAGGACUUGCUGGUCAGCCAGCCCAUCCUAAUCUGCAAACUCCAAGUGGCAGUGAGACACUCUGUCUGAAAAAAUAAAAAUAAAACAAGGAGCCCGGCGUAGAGGCACACAUCUCUAACCCCAGCACUCAGGGGCAGAGGCAGGCAGAUCUCUGAG